CGCGCACCCGGCUUGCCGCAGUCUGAUUGGCGGGGCCAAUACCGCUCAGGUCCUGGAAGUCGGCCCUCGGCUCUGGGGCGCUGCACCUGCAGGCAGGGGCUCAGGGAGGGUGGCUGUCACUCUUCGCUCAGCCCACUUAGCACGGCGAGGACCAGCAGACCGGUCUCGACUACAUCUGGGCGCUCCAGCAGCGCCGGUCCCUCCGUGCCCCUGUCUACCAUCUCGACCGAGCAUGUUCUCCAGGGCCCAGGUGAGGCGGGCUCUACAGCGGGUGCCCGGGAAGCAGCGACUUGGCAUCUACAGGUUCCUGCCUUUCUUUUUUGUCCUGGGAGGAACGUUCGAGUGGAUCAUGAUUAAAGUGCGCAUGGGCCAAGAGACUUUCUAUGAUGUCUACCGUAGAAAAGCCUCAGAGAGACAGUAUCAGAGAAGGCUGGAAGAUGCAGCAGAGACUGAGCUGCAGCAGUCAAUGAAAUGAAGUUUCACUGCUAAGACCUGCAUCUCCAGAGCACUGUUAAAGUUUAGUCUCUCCUCGACUACUUCCCGCUCAGCGAAUCUAGUCCAUGGAAUGUUAAGAAUUCAAAUUAAAUCAUGGACAUAAAAGCAAGAUCUUCUCUUGGGCCAGCAGGUGGUGUGGUUAAAGUGCUGGACUCCCACAUGGCCGACUGUGGUUUGCGUCCCAGACCUGGUGGCUUGCUUUCUCUUU